AAUGGAAUCUGCCUAGAGCAGAAUUUUCUAAACAUUUUGCCGAUUUACUGGUAUCAAAGGAAAAUAGGUAAACGUUGAACUUUUUGCCUAAGCCAGUUUAACAUUUAUCAUUGUCAAUAGAAGUAUUUAAGCCAGCACAUUGGGAUAAUAAUCUGAAUUCUAAAAUUGGAGUCUAAAUCCGGUUGAUCGUCGAAGAAAUUUUCUGUUGAUAAUGCGCAGUCAGCUUUUAAUACUUUUGGUAGUUACAUGCGUCGCCGCUGUCCUGUCACAAGACCAAUGCGUUGACGACAAUGGUGAUUACCACGAUCAAGGCGAUGGUGUGACAGAUAACAAAUUAGGUUUUGAGAGGAUUUGCACAUGCGUAUGGGUUGAGAACGAAGAAGACCCGGAUGCUUCUUAUGCCGACUGGUCAUGUACCGGCCCAGCGCCAUGAUUACCUAAUUUACUUGUACUUGUGUGAUGUUUGCUGUUAAAAAUUAAUCAAUAAAUUUUUUAGAAUGGUCAAUAUUUACUUUUUUAUCCCUCAUAUUCAUCUAAUUUGCUGAAAAAUAUUUCAAGUUACUCUAGUCAACUUGUGUAUUUAGUAUUAAACACAUAAGUUACGCAUAAUAUGUCCGUUUCAAUUCUGAUAGGAUCAGCUGUCUACAAACCAUGUGCAAUGUAGGUAAGUUGUCAAACACUUACGAAGAAACAGUUUGAAAUAGACGACGGCUGACACAUGCUAAAAUUAUGUUUAAAACAUUAUAACAAAAAGGUACGUUUUACAGGUAAAGAUACCACAUUCGUUUCAGGUUAUUGCACACAAAGCCGUGGCAACAGUUACAGAGUUUGCUAAAUUUAAUACAAGUAUACUCAUUUAAGUAAUUCUCCUUCUUCGUUAUAAUAUGCGCCUACUAAUACUAGUAACUGUAAAUGGCGACAUGACCUACACGUUUUAAAUAUUAACGCGUGUUAAAAUCUUGACACCUCGGUGAUAAUUGCAGCUAUAUUCUGUGAGUAUGAAUAAACUGAAACCUUGCCACACAACCAGGAAUCAUAUGUUCUACCGGCAUUGUAGUAGUAACAAUGGUCUAGUAGCAUAUUACCAUCUACACUCAUGAACAGAAUAUGAUGAGACACAUCAGCCCCAAUUUCACGAAACAACUUAAGUAAUUGCUUAGCUAAGUCUGUUAUUUCAUGUGCUUGUUUUGCUCUUUAUGCGUCUUCAGUGCUGACUUUUUUCAUAGAUUCGCAGAUCAAACCAUUUACAGAAAACUUAAGUUCGUUAUAUCAUGCUAAGAUAGAAAUAUCAUAUUUUCGUGACUGAAAUAAGUACUACAGUCAAAUACUACUACCCAUAGUAUAAUUUAUCUCUAAAUACAUUGUUAUAGAAAACGUCAAAAUUAAAUAACAAUAACUGAAGCAACAGAACGAUUUUAAAAUGACAGACUUAACUAAAUAAUUACUUUAGUUUUUUUUUCGUGAAACUGGGGCCAGAUUUUCCUUAAAGUGCAUAAUUAUGAUUUAUCAAUUAGUGAACUUUCUUGUAGCGAUUUAAGAACCAGAUGUUGGAGUAAAGUUUAUCAUGUUGCAGCUUACACAUUUUACCGGUCCCUUUUCAGCGAAAGUUCGAGUUAUGCAUGUGCGUCACAUUUUCUUUCUUGUUGAUAUUCAACGGAAGCAUAAUAUGUCAUUAUGUUUCAUGAACUUUGAACUUUACCAUAUGUUACAAGCACUACGGUCAGUUUAGACAGCUUAUUAAUGAUUCCAGUUAUUAAAAUCAGUCUGUCGCACUAUUUUGCCGCCAUAAAAGUGAGCAGCCGAUGUUGUUCAUUUCAUUUUCAGCUUGAAUAAAAUAGAGGUAAGUUUAAUGGUUAAUUUUCGUUUGAACUUUUCUUGACGUAUAAAAUAUAAAAAAGUAAAAAGGGCUGUUUAAACUAUUGUUUUUAUAGCGGAGACAUGUGGGAUUAAAUAUUUAGUGCAAACUCCAGAUCCAGAUUGUCGAACAAAUCUGUUAGAAUGCACAUUCUUGGUACUAGAACGACUGUCUGUAUACCUCUCGGUGGUGUUUGUACCUGGUAUUGCUGUAUUUUGCAAAUAUGAUUCUUUUGACGAAAGGUACAACGGGGCAAUACAAAGUUUUAAUUAAAUUCGCACAUAUCAGAAAUACAGAGAAGCAUUGCCUAAAUACUUUUCAUAUAAGAUGACAACAAAUAUUUUGAAUCAAAUCUUGAAAAAACCUAAACAUGAAGAGAGCGGUGAAUUCGUACCUGAUCUGUUUGUUGCCGCGUCCAUUGUUUCAUAUAUUUUGUUUCUUUCAUUUGCUAUGAAAAAAAAACUUCAGGUCUUGCAUUACUAUAAAUCAAUUGUUAGGUUGUCAUAAUAGCAUUCUUCGUAUUUUAUUUCUUUUUGUUGUCAGUGCACAAAACGUCUUAAAUUCAAUAAUUCUAUAUUACUUUACAUAUCUAACUGAUGGAAAACUUACUCUUGCAGGUAAAAUGAAGUGUUUGAAGUUUGGAUUAUUUCUCUUGGCUGUUGUCUUAGCAACCAGUCUAAAACACGCUGAGGCUGAGGAAGCAUGUGAGUACGAUGGGAAUGGAUAUGAUCCAGGUGCAGAAUUCCCUUCAACCGACGGCUGUAACACAUGCACGUGUCAGACGGACGGACAAGUUGCCUGCACUACCCAAAGUUGUGAAGAUGAAUAGUUGAAACUCACC